UACGUAGGGUGCAAGCGUUGUCCGGAAUUAUUGGGCGUAAAGAGCUCGUAGGCGGUUUGUCGCGUCGUCUGUGAAAUCCCGCAGCUCAACUGCGGGCUUGCAGGCGAUACGGGCAGACUUGAGUACUGCAGGGGAGACUGGAAUUCCUGGUGUAGCGGUGAAAUGCGCAGAUAUCAGGAGGAACACCGGUGGCGAAGGCGGGUCUCUGGGCAGUAACUGACGCUGAGGAGCGAAAGCGUGGGUAGCGAACAGG
rnacentral:rRNA from 1 species